UCCCUGGUGGCUCAGACGGUAAAGAAUCUGCCUGUAAUGCAGGAGACUUGGGUUUGAUCCCUGAGUGGGGAA
rfam:TPA: Bos taurus chromosome 9, whole genome shotgun sequence.